UCCAGGGGGCCGCCUUCGCCACCGGUAUUCCUCCAGAUCUCUACGCAUUUCACCGCUACACCUGGAAUUCUACCCCCCUCUACAAGACUCUAGCCUGCCAGUUUCGAAUGCAGUUCCCAGGUUGAGCCCGGGGAUUUCACAUCCGACUUGACAGACCGCCUGCGUGCGCUUUACGCCCAGUAAUUCCGAUUAACGCUUGCACCCUCCGUAUUACCGCGGCUGCUGGCACGGAGUUAGCCGGUGCUUCUUCUGCGGGUAACGUCAAUCGACAAGGUUAUUAACCUUAUCGCCUUCCUCCCCGCUGAAAGUACUUUACAACCCGAAGGCCUUCUUCAUACACGCGGCAUGGCUGCAUCAGGCUUGCGCCCAUUGUGCAAUAUUCCCCACUGCUGCCUCCCGUAGGAGUCUGGACCGUGUCUCAGUUCCAGUGUGGCUGGUCAUCCUCUCAGACCAGCUAGGGAUCGUCGCCUAGGUGAGCCGUUACCCCACCUACUAGCUAAUCCCAUCUGGGCACAUCUGAUGGCAUGAGGCCCGAAGGUCCCCCACUUUGGUCUUGCGACAUUAUGCGGUAUUAGCUACCGUUUCCAGUAGUUAUCCCCCUCCAUCAGGCAGUUUCCCAGACAUUACUCACCCGUCCGCCGCUCGUCACCCGAGAGCAAGCUCUCUGUGCUACCGCUCGACUUGCAUGUGUUAGGCCUG
rnacentral:rRNA from 1 species